rfam:Otolemur garnettii contig032862, whole genome shotgun sequence.
CUGUGUCUUGCUUCAACCACAAGAAUUUGAAUGGAACAG